CAGCAGCCGCGGUAAUACGAAGGGUGCAAGCGUUAAUCGGAAUUACUGGGCGUAAAGCGUGCGUAGGCGGUUUGUUAAGUCUGUUGUGAAAUCCCCGGGCUCAACCUGGGAAUGGCAAUGGAUACUGGCAAGCUAGAGUGUGUCAGAGGAUGGUGGAAUUCCCGGUGUAGUGGUGAAAUGCGUAGAGAUCGGGAGGAACAUCAGUGGCGAAGGCGGCCAUCUGGGACAACACUGACGCUGAGGCACGAAAGCGUGGGGAGCAAACAGGAUUAGAUACCCCCGUAGUCCCUGUCUCUUAUAA
rnacentral:rRNA from 1 species